UCCAGAUAACACAGAUCUGUGUAAAAAAAUUACACAGAUUGUUGUUCAGUUCUAGCUUUCAUAAUCUGAGUAAUUUUUUUACACAGAUCUGUGUAAAAAAAUACACAGAUUUUUGAAAAGCCGUUCUUUCAAAUCUGUGUAAAAAACAGUUGUCAUUUUUUAACAGGCACCAUUAAAGUUAUUCGUGAAGUUGGUAAGUUUUAUUUCUCUAAUUGAGUUAUUUCGUUAUUUAAAAUUAGUUUACUAUUUCAGACUUUGGCCAUCUUCCAAACUUUAACCAGUACCCAAUGAAAUGAUUGUUUGUGGAACCUGUUUCCGGAAUAUUCUUGUUGGUAAAAGUAAAAGUGGCCACAGGUUCCGGAAGCCAGCUUGGGUGGCACUUUACGACGUCAUCCUCGUCGUCAUUGUUAUGUUGUUUUCGUCGCUAUCGGGAGAAGCCAACUCUAACCCAAAAAUAACGAUAAUCGACAGUCACAAAACGGGCAAAAGUGCAUCAAAUGUGGCCAAAAAUAUUUUGUUAGUAUAUUUAUUAGGUCAAUAAACGAGAAUAAAUGAUGUUUUAUUUUUAAAAUCAA